rnacentral:rRNA from 2 species
GGGUUGUGAGGUUAAGCGACUAAGCGUACACGGUGGAUGCCCUGGCAGUCAGAGGCGAUGAAGGGCGUGCUAAUCUGCGAUAAGCGCCGGUAAGGUGAUAUGAACCGUUAUAACCGGCGAUACCCGAAUGGGGAAACCCAGUGUGACUCGUCACACUAUCAUUAACUGAAUCCAUAGGUUAAUGAGGCGAACCGGGGGAACUGAAACAUCUAAGUACCCCGAGGAAAAGAAAUCAACCGAGAUUCCCCCAGUAGCGGCGAGCGAACGGGGAGGAGCCCAGAGCCUGAAUCAGCAUAUGUGUUAGUGGAAGCGUCUGGAAAGGCGCGCGAUACAGGGUGACAGCCCCGUACACAAAAGCGCAUGUGCUGUGAGCUCGAUGAGUAGGGCGGGACACGUGGUAUCCUGUCUGAAUAUGGGGGGACCAUCCUCCAAGGCUAAAUACUCCUGACUGACCGAUAGUGAACCAGUACCGUGAGGGAAAGGCGAAAAGAACCCCGGCGAGGGGAGUGAAAAAGAACCUGAAACCGUGUACGUACAAGCAGUGGGAGCACCCUUUGGGGUGUGACUGCGUACCUUUUGUAUAAUGGGUCAGCGACUUAUAUUCUGUAGCAAGGUUAACCGAAUAGGGGAGCCGGAGGGAAACCGAGUCUUAAUUGGGCGUUAAGUUGCAGGGUAUAGACCCGAAACCCGGUGAUCUAGCCAUGGGCAGGUUGAAGGUUGGGUAACACUAACUGGAGGACCGAACCGACUAAUGUUGAAAAAUUAGCGGAUGACCUGUGGCUGGGGGUGAAAGGCCAAUCAAACCGGGAGAUAGCUGGUUCUCCCCGAAAGCUAUUUAGGUAGCGCCUCGUGAAUUCAUCUCCGGGGGUAGAGCACUGUUUCGGCUAGGGGGCCAUCCCGGCUUACCAACCCGAUGCAAACUGCGAAUACCGGAGAAUGUUAUCACGGGAGACACACGGCGGGUGCUAACGUCCGUCGUGAAGAGGGAAACAACCCAGACCGCCAGCUAAGGUCCCAAAGUCAUGGUUAAGUGGGAAACGAUGUGGGAAGGCCCAGACAGCCAGGAUGUUGGCUUAGAAGCAGCCAUCAUUUAAAGAAAGCGUAAUAGCUCACUGGUCGAGUCGGCCUGCGCGGAAGAUGUAACGGGGCUAAACCAUGCACCGAAGCUGCGGCAGCGACGCUGAUGCGUUGUUGGGUAGGGGAGCGUUCUGUAAGCCUGCGAAGGUGGCCUGUGAGGGUUGCUGGAGGUAUCAGAAGUGCGAAUGCUGACAUAAGUAACGAUAAAGCGGGUGAAAAGCCCGCUCGCCGGAAGACCAAGGGUUCCUGUCCAACGUUAAUCGGGGCAGGGUGAGUCGACCCCUAAGGCGAGGCCGAAAGGCGUAGUCGAUGGGAAACGGGUUAAUAUUCCCGUACUUGGUGUUACUGCGAAGGGGGACGGAGAAGGCUAUGUUGGCCGGGCGACGGUUGUCCCGGUUUAAGCGUGUAGGUGUGUGUUCCAGGUAAAUCCGGUUCACUUUAACACUGAGGCGUGAUGACGAGGCACUACGGUGCUGAAGCAACAAAUGCCCUGCUUCCAGGAAAAGCCUCUAAGCAUCAGGUAACAUCAAAUCGUACCCCAAACCGACACAGGUGGUCAGGUAGAGAAUACCAAGGCGCUUGAGAGAACUCGGGUGAAGGAACUAGGCAAAAUGGUGCCGUAACUUCGGGAGAAGGCACGCUGACACGUAGGUGAAGUGAUUUACUCAUGGAGCUGAAGUCAGUCGAAGAUACCAGCUGGCUGCAACUGUUUAUUAAAAACACAGCACUGUGCAAACACGAAAGUGGACGUAUACGGUGUGACGCCUGCCCGGUGCCGGAAGGUUAAUUGAUGGGGUCAGCGCAAGCGAAGCUCCUGAUCGAAGCCCCGGUAAACGGCGGCCGUAACUAUAACGGUCCUAAGGUAGCGAAAUUCCUUGUCGGGUAAGUUCCGACCUGCACGAAUGGCGUAAUGAUGGCCAGGCUGUCUCCACCCGAGACUCAGUGAAAUUGAACUCGCUGUGAAGAUGCAGUGUACCCGCGGCAAGACGGAAAGACCCCGUGAACCUUUACUAUAGCUUGACACUGAACAUUGAGCCUUGAUGUGUAGGAUAGGUGGGAGGCUUUGAAGUGUGGACGCCAGUCUGCAUGGAGCCGGCCUUGAAAUACCACCCUUUAAUGUUUGAUGUUCUAACGUGGACCCGUGAUCCGGGUUGCGGACAGUGUCUGGUGGGUAGUUUGACUGGGGCGGUCUCCUCCUAAAGAGUAACGGAGGAGCACGAAGGUUGGCUAAUCCUGGUCGGACAUCAGGAGGUUAGUGCAAUGGCAUAAGCCAGCUUGACUGCGAGCGUGACGGCGCGAGCAGGUGCGAAAGCAGGUCAUAGUGAUCCGGUGGUUCUGAAUGGAAGGGCCAUCGCUCAACGGAUAAAAGGUACUCCGGGGAUAACAGGCUGAUACCGCCCAAGAGUUCAUAUCGACGGCGGUGUUUGGCACCUCGAUGUCGGCUCAUCACAUCCUGGGGCUGAAGUAGGUCCCAAGGGUAUGGCUGUUCGCCAUUUAAAGUGGUACGCGAGCUGGGUUUAGAACGUCGUGAGACAGUUCGGUCCCUAUCUGCCGUGGGCGCUGGAGAACUGAGGGGGGCUGCUCCUAGUACGAGAGGACCGGAGUGGACGCAUCACUGGUGUUCGGGUUGUCAUGCCAAUGGCACUGCCCGGUAGCUAAAUGCGGAAGAGAUAAGUGCUGAAAGCAUCUAAGCACGAAACUUGCCCCGAGAUGAGUUCUCCCUGAGACUUAGAGUCUCCUGAAGGAACGUUGAAGACGACGACGUUGAUAGGCCGGGUGUGUAAGCGCAGCGAUGCGUUGAGCUAACCGGUACUAAUGAACCGUGAGGCUUAACCUUACAACGCCGAAG